rnacentral:lncRNA from 1 species
GCCUCGAGACGUGGAUGAUAUCCCUCCAAGCUUUUUUCCACAAAUCGAAGUGAAAUUGACGAAUCGAAGUUGAGAAAGAUGUUUGGAUGGUUGAGACGAAGCUGCUGCCAAAAUCUGGUGGCCGGAGGCGGAGGUUGCCGGUGUGUGAACAGUGCGGUGAACAGUGAUUGCGGGUGAUAUACCGAGCUAUUGCUUGAUGAAGGAACUCGUAUGCGUGAUAGCCUAAAUAGUACUUUUGCAGGCUAGUUUAGCUGGAGGUCGAGCAUACAUCGAGUUGAGGCAUAGCUGUUGUAGCUUCCGCCUUAUAAAAGUAUCGGUUCUUUAUCUUUUAUUUUAUCAUCUUUUACGUCUGUACAUUAGAUUGCUCUGAUAACCCAUGAUAUUAAUAUUCUUAAGUCUAGAAUUGUUGUAAAUGGGGGAUGUUGUGAUUUAGGGAGUAUGGUGGCUCUAGAAGAUUAAGGAUGAAAUAUUUUAG